rnacentral:misc_RNA from 1 species
GAUGAAGAACGUAGUGAAAUGCGAUAAGUAAUGUGAAUUGCAGAAUUCAGUGAAUCAUCGAAUCUUUGAACGCACAUUGUGCCCGCCAGUAUUCUGGCGGGCAUGCCUGUCCGAGCGUCAUUUCAACCAUCAAGCCCCGGGCUUGUGUUGGGGACCUGCGUCCGACGCAGGCCCUGAAAACCAGUGGCGGGCUCGCUGUCCACACCGAGCGUAGUAACUAACCUCGCUAUGGAGUGGCGCGGGCGCCUGCCGUAAAACCCCCAAUUUCACAAGGUUGACCUCGGAUCAGGUAGGAAUACCCGCUGAACUUAAGCAUAUCAAUAAGCGGAGGA